AUACACAACAGAAUAUUACUCAGCCAUGAAGAUGAAUGAAAUUAUGGCAUUUGCAGGCAAAUAGAUGGAACUGGAGACUAUCAUGCUAAGCAAAACAAGCCAAAUCCCUGAAACCAAAGGCCAAUGUUCCCUCUGAUAUGAAGAUGCUGAUUCACAAUAGAGGUGGGAGGGAUGGGGGGCAGUGGAGGUUCACUGGAUUAGACAAGGGGAUGCUAGAGGAAGGGAGGGGGAAUGGGAAUGGGAAAGACAGUAGAAUGAAUCAUAUGACAUAACUUUUCUAUGUUUAUAUGUGAAUACACGACCAGUGUAACUUCACAUCAUCUACAACCACAAGAAUGGGAAGUUGUACUCAUGCAUGCAUGUCAAAAUACAUUCUACUGUCAUGUAUAACUAAAAAGAAAAAAAAUUAAAAUUUAAAAAUCACAGAUAUAGAGAACCAAAUAGCUCACUGGGGCUGCAAUGGCUGGUAACAAACAGAGACUUCUUCACGUACCUGUGCCUAAGCUUCCUUUAUUUUUAUCUUCUGGAUUUUAGACUUAUCUGUGGCCCAGGAGGCUCUCCUGACUCCUCAGGGGAGAUGUUCUGCUGCCUCAUCACAUGUGACCCAGCCUCAGUGGGAUAUGGAAGCCCUCUGAGAUCACACACCCUCCUGGGCAUCACCUGCCCAACAAAGAGGAGCUGCUCUCUCACCCUUUCUUGUCCAGAGCAGCCACAUCAUCUAUCCUCAUGCCGAAGAUAAACAGGUUCUCUUCUCCGGCUUCCUCUGCCAUUUCCACGUUGGCCCCAUCCAUAGUCCCAAUGGUCAGGGCGCCAUUCAGCAUGAACUUCAUGUUGCCUGUUCCUGAGGCUUCUGUGCCUGCAGUGGAAAUCUGCUCUGACAGAUCUGUGGCUGGAAUGACUGUAAGGGAGACACAGUAGUAUCAGUGAUACUCU
rnacentral:lncRNA from 1 species